CGUGCAGGUGGUUCGGUAAGUUGGGCGUGAAAUCUCCCGGCUCAACUGGGAGAGGUCGUCCAAUACUACCGAACUUGAGAGCAGAAGAGGAAGAUGGAAUUCCCGGUGUAGUGGUGAAAUGCGUAGAUAUCGGGAGGAACACCAGUGGCGAAGGCGAUCUUCUGGUCUGUUUCUGACACUCAGACGCGACAGCUAGGGUAGUAAACG
rnacentral:rRNA from 1 species